rnacentral:rRNA from 1 species
AGACGGAGGGUGCAAGCGUUGUUCGGAAUUACUGGGCGUAAAGCGCGUGUAGGCGGGCUGAUAAGUCGGAUGUGAAAGCCCUCGGCUCAACCGAGGAAGGGCAUCCGAUACUGUCAGCCUUGAGUGCCGGAGAGGGAAGGGGAAUUCCCGGUGUAGAGGUGAAAUUCGUAGAUAUCGGGAGGAACACCGGCGGCGAAGGCGCCUUCCUGGACGGAUACUGACGCUGAGACGCGAAAGCGUGGGGAGCAAACAGGAUUAGAUACCCUAGUAGUCC